UACGAAGGGGGCUAGCGUUGCUCGGAAUCACUGGGCGUAAAGGGUGCGUAGGCGGGUCUUUAAGUCAGGGGUGAAAUCCUGGAGCUCAACUCCAGAACUGCCUUUGAUACUGAAGAUCUUGAGUUCGGGAGAGGUGAGUGGAACUGCGAGUGUAGAGGUGAAAUUCGUAGAUAUUCGCAAGAACACCAGUGGCGAAGGCGGCUCACUGGCCCGAUACUGACGCUGAGGCACGAAA
rnacentral:rRNA from 1 species